AGUGAACGCUGGCGGUAGGCUUAACACAUGCAAGUCGAACGGCAGCACAGUAAGAGUUUGCUCUUACGGGUGGCGAGUGGCGGACGGGUGAGGAAUACAUCGGAAUCUACUUUUUCGUGGGGGAUAACGUAGGGAAACUUACGCUAAUACCGCAUACGACCUACGGGUGAAAGCAGGGGAUCUUUGGACCUUGCGCGAUUGAAUGAGCCGAUGUCGGAUUAGCUAGUUGGCGGGGUAAAGGCCCACCAAGGCGACGAUCCGUAGCUGGUCUGAGAGGAUGAUCAGCCACACUGGAGCUGGGACACGGUCCAGACUCCUGCGGGAGGCAGCAGUGGGGAAUAUUGGACAAAGGGCGCAAACCUGAUCCAGCCAUACCGCGUGGGUGAAGAAGACCUUCGGGUUGUAAAGCCCUUUUGUUGGGAGAGAAAAGCAGCAGGUUAAUACCCCGCUGUUCUGACGGUACCCAAAGAAUAAGCACCGGCUAACUACGUG
rnacentral:rRNA from 1 species